rnacentral:rRNA from 1 species
GAUGAACGCUGGCGGCGUGCCUAAUACAUGCAAGUCGAGCGAACAGACGAGGAGCUUGCUCCUCUGACGUUAGCGGCGGACGGGUGAGUAACACGUGGAUAACCUACCUAUAAGACUGGGAUAACUUCGGGAAACCGGAGCUAAUACCGGAUAAUAUUUUGAACCGCAUGGUUCAAUAGUGAAAGACGGUUUUGCUGUCACUUAUAGAUGGAUCCGCGCUGCAUUAGCUAGUUGGUAAGGUAACGGCUUACCAAGGCAACGAUGCGUAGCCGACCUGAGAGGUGGACCGGCAACACUGAAACUAAGCCACGUCCCGAAUCCUAAGGGGAGGCACAGGUGGGAAACUUUCGCAAAUGGGCGAAAGCUGGACGGAGAAACGCCGGGGGGUUGAGGAAGGCUUCCGGAUCGUAAACCCCGUUAAUAGGGAAAAAAAAAUUGGGAAAGUAACGAUGCACGUCUGGAGGUUACUUAUCCAAAAAGCAACGCCAAACUACGU